GACGGCGGUGGCGUCCCACCAGCCGGAUUACUUGAGUUCGACGGCGCCAAUGAUGGCGCAUUACCAGGUGACGAUGGAACCGCCGGCGGUGACGUGGAAGGGGAGGUUCCCGGCGGGGGAGAUACUCCUGUUGGAGCAUUAGCCGCAGGUGGCUGCGAUGACGGUGACGUGGAGGGGGAAGUUCCCGGAGCCGGUGACAGCCCAGUUGGAGCAUUAGCCGCAGGUGGUUGCGAUGACGGUGACGUGGAGGGGGAAGUUCCCGGAGCCGGUGACAGCCCAGUUGGAGCAUUAGCCGCAGGUGAUUGGGAUGAUGAUGGUGACGUAGAAGGUGAAGUUGCCGGCACCGGAGAGUACCCUUUUGGAGGAUAAGGCGAAGGCGCAUGAGAUGAUGGUGACGUGGAAGGUGAAGUCGCCGGCACUGGAGAGUAUCCUUUUGGAGGAUAAGGCGAAGACGUGGAAGGUGAAGUUGCCGGCGUCGGAGAGGACCCUUUAGGAGGAUUAGCCGAAGGUGCAUGAGAUGUUGGUGAGGUGGAGGGGGAAGUCGCCGGCGGCUGUGUGGCCGGAGAAGGAGACUUAGGAGACGGGGCAUGCGGUGGAGGUUUCGUGGUGGGGGGUCCAGUUGAGGGAGGGGGAGGCCUUUCAUGCAAAACGACGACGAUUAAUUUCUGUCCCUUUUGGCAAUGAUCAUGGUUUCCACUUAUGAAAUAGAAAGGACCCGAACGAUCAAGCUUGAACUCUGAGUCACCCGAAUCCAGUUUCAGCAAAGGCUUCUUCGUGUUGCAGCUGUCGUAAUCAUCUUUGUUCACUAACAACACCGAGUCUGAUCCUUUCUUGUACUUGAAAACUGCCAUAAAUUAAAAAAAAAAAAAAAAUCGAAAUCAGCAUUCUUUCAUUAGAUCGUCACCCCCAAACACAGGUUAAGCAGUGAUAUUCAAACAGAAAAUCCUCAAAGAACGCUGACAGAAACAGAGUAAACCUUAAGACUUACAGAGGGUAUCAUUGACGAGGAACCUGUUUCUCCCAGACCAUUUGUUGUAAUUUUCUCCAGGGUUUGUAACCCAGCCGUGUUUGCCACCCACGUUGAAUUUGAGUGCGUGAGAGGAAGAGAUGAAAAAUGCAAAGAGAGCCAAGGAAAGGCAAAGAGAUUUCUGAAACUCCAUUGAACAGAAAUGUGCUCUAGACUUGUGUGUUUUCUGUUUUUAUAUAGCGAUGAAAGUGAUAUAGAUAUGUACGAUGACCCAGAAGCUUCACAGAAAAUCUGCCAAUUGGAAGUUUUUAUUGGUAUUGCUUUUUUACUUGGGAAGUAAAAGAUUUUGGAGAUUUGAUUGGAGAAGGAAAAUCAGAGAUAAGAAGGAAAGUGAAGAUAGAGGCAGUGGCGUUGAUAUAUAAAGAGAGAUUCAGAUUACCGUUUGAAUAGUAAUAGCAAUCAAUCAAUGAAUCCCAAAACUUUAUUAGAGUCGAGCCAGGUGAAGUUAUUGUUUGUCUGCUUAUUAGUCUACGCCUAGUAUUUGGUCUUCUGUUUCUUUUUACAGGUGGCAAAAUCAGAGAACGUGAACGUUGAUCAUGCAAUUGAAAUUAAUGUAGUGUCAAUUGUGGGGUAGAUUGGAGCCUCCCAUGUGUCUCUUCGCACAACCGUGUGAUACACGUUUCAAUUGUAUCUUAAAUUUGUUCAUAAUCAUACGGUACGUAUUUCACUCGAGCUAUUAACUCUUAAUAUUUAGGGGCUUGGAUGAGAUGAAAAACUUCACUCACUAAGCACACACUUAUCACAACUCCUCUCCUAUUAGCACUAAAACUCAUGUGAUUGCACUCACAAUUAGCCGAGCUAAAUUUGGAGGCUAAAAUGUUAAUCUUUAUGAUCAUCAAUACAUUUUAGUCGGCCAAAAUUGAUUAUAAGACUUGUUCUUCCCGUUGAACUAUUAAUGCCUCUUUGUCCGUUGGUGUUGACUUCACAGUUAUGCAAGAUUGGACCAGCUCAAGUCGAAGGGCUCAUAUAUCCAGUGCUUGGCCCCAGGAGUAGACAGAUAGUCUGUUCAUGGCCACCAUUAGUCCUUUCACCAUAAAUAAUUAAACCAUGCUUUGGUGUAGGGAAAGUUUACUGAGUCUCAUAGCCUUUGGGUUAAAAUGAAGGGUGACCCUCCAAGUUUUUAUGACUUUCAUCCUGAAUUAAGUGGCUGUGGUUCUCUUACAUAGAACACAGGAGUAGACGAAUGGUACCUACUCUCAUCUACUGUUUAGUAGAGUCUAGGACAACGGGUGCGCUAUGACAUUCAUGUACCUAUCUAUAUCUACUGAAGUCAUAACAUGCAUGCAUGUGUGUGUGUGUGUGUAUAUAAAAAUUGUCCGCUAAUUUUGAAAAUUCAACAACAAAAGUGUGGAAAAGGAAAAAAAGUGUAAUCUGCAGGAAAUGAAUGAAUAUGGUCAAACAAUCUUCAACCCUCGAGUAAAGGAAUCCAAGAACUAUAACAAGAGCCAUAAUUUUGAGUUUCUGUGUGUGUAUUCAGCUACCUCUGUCACUACUCAUAUGAAAUGUACAUUAUAGGUGGGAAAAGGGUGGUGUCGAGGGCUUGUGUGAACCAAAUACCCCGCAAACAAACAACUUUUUUCACUCAAAUGGAAUUCACAUGAUGCACCAAGAAUUCCCCACCCAGUUCAUAUGAAUGAAAUCAGCCAUUCCCUCAAGAGAAUGUGUAAUAUCAUAAAAUUAAAAAAAAAAGGGAAAACAAAAAGGUCUCUUCAAAAGUCAUACUUUGUUCUCCCACUCAUCAAGAUGAGACACAGCAUAUCUGAAAUGUCAGAAGAAGAACUGAAGAAGUUCCAAGACUCGAGCAUUAGGCGUUUCCUUGAUCCCUUGAAAUGAACAACCUAUACAAUAAUAAAAUCAAUAUUUUAAAAUAAUGCACACUUGAAAACUUUUAUGUGACAGCAAGAGGAAGUCAUAUGAAAAAAACAAAAUAUUUAAACUAAGCAAUUGAAUUUAGAUAUUCAAGCAUACCUUAACAUCCAAAGGCAUUCCAUGAAAUUGGCCUGCACCCUCAGGUGGUGUCCAAUUGUACGUAGCGCAUGGUAGAAAUAGCACAGAAGCUCCAAUAAUGUCUUCAACAAAGGGCUGUGCUUUGGUAAAUCUCCUUGCAUCAAAAGAAGGGUGCGAUUUUACAACCCAGGCAAGAGCUAACUGGUCACCGAGCAUUCUGGAGGCAUUCAUGUAUUUGGAACUGUAAACCCUUAAUACUUCCUCAAGAAAUAUCUUCGCCCUGAAAUCAAUUUCAGGUUGUAAUUUUCUCAAGUGAAUUUUAUUGUCAUUAUUCAUACAGCCUUUCAUGCACCAGGAAAUUGUGAAGGAAGGACCCCAAAAAAAAAAACCUCAAGAAAUAUCUUCGCCCUGAAAUCAAUUUCAGGUUGUAAUUUUCUCAAGUGAAUUUUAUUGUCAUUAUUCAUACAGCCUGAAGGAAAUAGGAAAAAGACAAGAUUGGUUCCCCAAAAAAAAAAAGAAGGAAAUAGGAAAAAGACAAGAUUGGUUCAUGUAUCUUAUAAUCUGUAACGAACUAAUGGACCAAUAACUCCAACCAAUGACCCACAAAGAUUUGCAAGAUAUAGAUUUCAAUUUCAAAGUCUCCGUAACGGACAAUAGAAACAUUUCAAACUUUUUUCCACCACCUAAUUUUAUUCUAGUAGAAAAAGCCUUGCACAGAAGGAGAAAAUUAGGCACCUUGAAAUCCCAUCUGGGGUGCCCCUGACAGCAAUAAAUCCAGAAUUCAGAGGUUGAUCUUUAUUGUUUCUGAAAGUCAGAGCCAGAUGAAAGUUUUGGUAAUCGUGAAAUAUAUGUCCUAAGUCGUCAACCACGGCUAUAUCUGAGUCAGUGAAGACAUAAUGAUUUAUAUGCCCUUGCCCCUGAGAAUGCUCCCGAAUUCUUCUUUCUAGAAAAGUCUGCAUAAACAGAAUAACAUUGAAACAUAAAAUUCAAAACAGUGCCCUCAUAGUUCAAGAAGCAAAAUUCUUGACUAAUUAUUUUAUCAUUGCAAUCUUAAUCGUUAAGCAAAAUAAGACAAUUUUCAACGAUAUCUUCUGAUAUGAAUAAGUAACUAUUAACUCUUUGUGGCAAAUGCAACUAGGGCAUAGAAUGUUCUUCUCGCAAGAAAUGAGACCAAAAGCAAAAUGAAUUUAUUUGUGAGUCUGCACAAGAGUUUGGUGAGGGGGCAAAAGAAAAACUACAAUGAAGGAUUGCUAGGGGGAAAAUAAGUAGAAAGAACAAGAAAAAAAAAAAAAAUCUUGAAAGGGAACAUAAAAUACAAAUGAAAAGCUGGUAAGAAAGCUGCAGAAAUAUACAUAGAUAAAUUAAGACAUUAUAGACAAUUUCUGCAAAUGAUUUUUAUUUCUCAGAAAUAUGAAUGAAAAACAAAAACAUUCUACCUAUUUAUCAGUGCGAUUUGCUCUUACAAUGUAAGACCUGAUUCUUUGAAGCAUCAAUUUGUCUCGUGAAUAUUCACCAUGAAUGGGAUAUAUGGUGACCCCUUUUCUGGGCAUUGAGAGGUCUGAAGCUGGAUCAGUCAGAAUGAAAACAUCACUCUUGGGCAUUGUCACCUGCAAUAAUUUUAUGUUUGAAGUCAUGAAUUAGUAAAAUUUGAAAGCUGCAAACCAUACAGGUCCAUUAAUAGAUGACAUAGCUCUCAAUUCUACUAUGUUAGACAAAGGUAGUUAUGACAAUAAGUAAAUGUAAAUAUAAUUAUCAAUGAUAAGAGUUCCCAAAUACACCAACAUAAAGAUCGCUCUUAAGUUUUAGAUGAGUCAUCCCAAAGUUGCAACAAUAGAUGCUAAAAAUAGUAAAGCUCAAAGUUAAUAUCUGAAUUACCAUGUAAAAUCAAUGAACGUUAUUCUCAGAUUUUUUUUUUUGGAUAAGAAACAUGAACUCUACCCCAGUUUCUGAUGGAUUUGUCAAAGACUUGCCUGAAUAAAGUUAAUGAAGACAUUCAGUAUCGCCAUUGACCUCUCUGUCUUACUAUAUGAAGCAUUUCCAACUGUAACCAUGUUUGAUGCUCUGCUAUCUACAGGAACAUCAAGUGAUGUGUUAUAAAUUGUGAAAACAGUGACAAAGGAAAUGCUAUUUCCAAUGCUAGAGGCUUGGAAAGAGGUCUUGUUGAGAGCUUUUAAUCCUGAGACAGAAAUCAUGGAAUAAAACCUUCAGCAUUAGUAUUGGUAGUAAAACCACUUGACCCAAAAGCUUAAAUUGGUAGGCAAGAGCCUGAUAAUUGUGUUAAAGACAAGUUUUGACAAGUACAAUUAAAGAGGAUGUUUCCAUAGAUUAUGUCAUAUGACCACCAAAUGAGUGAGAGUAUAAAUUACAAUGUGAGAUUUAAAAGGCCUUCACAUCCAAAAAUAUGGAAACUUCUCAAUAAAUAAACUCUAAACAUACACAAUAUGAUCCAAUUCAUAAUUUGAGCAUUCACAUACGUGUUUAUUGGCGGAAAAAGGCUACGGAACUGCAGGGCCAGUUUCAAUUGGGAGAAAAAUACCAUGGAGCUAAUUAGCCAAUCAAUUUCAAAUAUGUUGAAACCACUAUUUUCAAAUUUAAAGUAGAUGAUCAACAGAUAAUAAUGGAUUAAGAAGGAUUUCAUUUUAGAAAUCCAAAAUAGAAAUAGUAAGUCUAUAUUAGCAGGAAAUACUAGCAUAUUAUUUACAAGGACAAUGAACCUACCUUGGCAUUGCAAACGGUUAGGCAACCGUUGGCCAGCAGCUGGACCAAGAAUCAGAUGAUCAAACUUCUGUCUAUUUUUCCUGGGAAGAUCUUCUACAACCGACUUUUCAUGCAAUUCCAGAACUGAAGAUGGACACCAAUCAUUAUUCAAGCAAAAAUUCCCUUUAUAAAUAAAUACAACAUUGAAAUGCUGUAAACGGAAUAAUUAGAAGUAGACCAAAACUAUUACCUGAUAACAGAUAAGGGAGGAAGAAGACCAAAGGGAGAAAGAAAAGGAAACGGCGACAUCCACCACAUGCUCUCAUGCCUAAGCUUCCUUUCAAUGGACCAACUGACUCAAAGAUCAUCUCCAGCACAAAUUGAAUUGAGAAAAAGCAUAAAAUGCACAGUAUGUUUCCUUCGAGUGCCAACACUCUAGUACCUCUACAGCAAUACCAAAUGAACAAAACUCUAUAACAUAAUGCUCAUAUAAACCAUCAAAGCUUAAAGAAGAACAAAACAGCAACUCAAAUUAAGCUGAAAAUCACGGAGGAAUCUAAUUCUACACCGAUCCUACUGCUAAUAUAUACAUAAUACCAUUAUCACAGACAAAAUGCAGAUGAAGCAAGUGCAAGAUCAAAUUUUGCUUUCAAUCGCAUUAUUAUAGCUAUUAAAAGUAAAUACCCAGUUCAUAAAAAGUAAUUUUCUGGUUCUCAGUUUUAUAAAUUCGCGAUACUCAUGAGCAAUUUCCUACAAAACUGAAAAUUUAGAUUGAAUAAUGCAAGAGCUCUAAAAGUUUAACUUGAAUGAACAAAGUUCGGGCAAGAAAAUACUCACCCAGAUACAGAGGAAAAAGAAAAAAACGUUGAUGGCUACAGAAACUGUGCACUUGACGGUUGACACGAGAUCUGGUUACGGCUACUGAGCUUCCAGCCUUCCAUGAUGGUUUUGAUUAAAUAAAUACUCUUUGCUUCUGUUAUUAAUAAUGUCAUAGAAGGAGUAUGAAACUAUGAAACCUAAUACAAAAUGACAAUGAAAUGACGAUAUUAACCUUGAUUCGUCUAAUUACAUGCUUGCCGAUGGUAAUGGGGAGGGGAGACUAUUUGUCCUUCUAUCCUUCUGUUUCCAUUGGAAUUACACGAGAGAAAGGAAUAGAAGUCUCUAAAGAGUACACAAUUCCUGAAUGACUAUUAUAUCUUUAAUUUUUGAACAUAAUUUAACUAUAUUAAAAAUAAAAAAAUUUAAAUAUAAAAUUACGUCACUAUUAAACUAAGUCAAUGCUGUCAAUAUUACAAGUCAAUCUUUUAAACUUAUCCCCAAAAAAAAAAAAAGCGUGAUAAUAUUUCUUGCAUUACCUGUUACAAAAAUCAAACAAUUCAAAUCAUGACAAAAUGACCUCCUCGAUCUUCAUUAAAUAAUAGUGGCAAGUUACGUCAAAGUCUUGAUAUUAAAUAAUAUCUAUAUUUUUUUAAUAAAUAUUGUGAUAUUUGUUAUUACACUCAUAUUUUAAAAUUUAAUUUAAAUUUAAAUAUAUUCACUAACAAUUUUAAAAAAUAAAAAAAUGAUAAAGGAGAAAUUAGCAGGGGAUGACUUUCAUCUAAUUCUCAUUCCUUUCUCGAAUAAGAUAUUAGAUAUGAAAUGGUCCAUGCCCUUCCUCAUAUAAAAUAAUUCCCUCACUAUAUUCGAAUGGCAAAAAUCCCAGCAUUUCCUACUAAUAUAUUUUAAUUUGAUACUUUGACUUAUUCCAAAUGUCUAUUUUCAUUUAAAAAGAAAAAUUAAGACCAAUCAAACACAUCUCAAAUUCCAUCAUAUCAUAAUCCGGUUCUGAGAAACAAUGAAAAUUAUGUGAUCAAGUAACUUCAAAUUUCUAAAACUUUCCCAUAAAAUUAUAAAAUAAAUAAAUAUAUUUUUAAAUGAUGCUAUAGCUUGGGCCGCCGCCGGGCACCAUAUGAGGGUGUCAGGCUAGGGCUUUACAGAAAUAGCCCAAGCCCGACGUAAGACUGGUGUUUAAAAUUUUAAAAAAAUUGUACCAAUUUUUAAUGUUUAAUUAUAAUUAAACCAAGUGCCUUAUUAUAUAACUAAUACAAUUUAUUAGUGAUAAUGAUACGAUAACUGUAAAAAUCUCAUACGUUUCUAUUAUUUUGUUUCAACAAAUACACAUAUGUAUAUGGAAUCGCACAAAUUUAUUUCCAUAAUUUGUAUAAAUGAUUAAUAUACUUUUCCAUAUAGUUUUACUUAAAACAUUAUUUGUUUCCAUCAAUACUUUCGUUGAUUUCAUAUAAUGUACACACACACACACACAAAUUUUUCUACUAUUCGUUAUACAUGAAUACAUUUACUGCACUUAAAUAUUUCUAACUUUAAUUGCCCUUAAAACUUAUGUAAAUAUAAUUUCAAUAUCAUUCUUUGAUAAUUUAGCACCCAAAAACACUUUUUAAAAUAAAUUAUUUAAAAAUUUGAUUCUCCAAUAAUUUAUUUUUGUACUAAACAUUAAAAGUUACUAGGAUUAGCUUUGGAAUAUCAGAUUUUUUUAAAAAAAAUCUGAUAUUAGAAUCUGCAAUACCAUUUUUAUCCUUAUCUUAGAAACAUAUGUCCAAAAAUACCCAUGCACUAAUUUACGUAAUUUAUUAAUAUUUAGAAAAUUUAAUUUUUCAAAAACAACAAAAUACCAAAGCCAUCGCCGGUGCCAGCAAUGUCUCUGUCACCAUCAUCAGCGUCUAGUGGAAGUAUUCCUAGUGCGACACCACAAACCCUAUUAGACUUCAAACUAUCUUCCGUACACAAUGGUUAUGCCGUGGUUAGCGGAGAAGAAAUGAUGGUGUGUCUCCUGUGUUCCUGAAAUAAAAUGGCUACUAUAAUGCUGCCAUGAAAAGGAGACAAAUAAAGGUAAGCUGCCUGCCACUAUCAUCUGAUGGAUUGAUGAUGAUAAUAAUAAUAAUAUACUUAUUUAAUUAAAAAAACAAUUUUUAUCUAUUGCAUAUGUGCUUUAUUUGUUGAUAAAAGAUGAGUUGUUAUAAUUUCAGUAAUUAUUUAAUAAUUAGUUUGAAAUUUGAAUAAAAAUACCAAUUUCUUAACAAAAUGUGGAUAUUUUAAUCAUUUUACACAGACACCGUAUAUUUAAGAUCAAUUUACCAAACAUUUAUAGCAAAUUUAUUGGGAAGUAAUUAUUUUGUAAUCUAAAUUUACCAAACAAGCAACCAAAUUAUUAGUAAAGUUGAUUAUUUCAAAAUCUAGCCUAAAAUAGAUUAUUUGGGAAGCAAAAGCAAUCUCAAACAUACCCUGGCUUCCAUAUAUUCAUCCAAGAAGCAAUGUUUAUGGUUUAAUAUGUUCAUUCUCCUUAGAGAUGACAAUAAAAUCCGGAUUCGGCCUGCAUCCGUAAGGAUCCAUAAAAUAUGGAUCCGCAAAAAUUCAGAUAUGUAUUUUUGAAAAUGCGGAUCCGGAUUUGAAAAACUAAAACCCGCACGGAUUCGGAUAUAAAUCCAGAUGCACUUGCAUGUGGAAAACUGGAUAUCCAGAUCCGGUUGGUUUUUGUUUUAAAUUAAAAUAUAUUAACUUAAAUUAAAAAAAAAAUCUAAUCCCUAGCUGUCAGUGUCGUUCGCUUCCUUCAUUCAACUUUCAUACACACACACUCACCUCACCAACAGCCGUAAGUCGUAUCCCUCAAAUCUCGCUCUCAACUGGUCGUUGUCUUCUGUCGCCUCGCUUGAUUUGUCGUUGAAGCCUCGUUGUCCAAGCCUUGCGGUACUCGUUGAAGAAGCCUCGCUGUCGUUCAACCCUGGCCGUGUAAGCCUCGCCUGAUUGGAAUUAAUUUGUCAGUAAUUUUUUAUAUUUGAUUUAUGUUGUGAUAUUUUUAUUUAUGGAUUUAUGUUGAUGUUAUAUGUUAUUUAUGUUAAAUUGUUAAUUGUUGGAUUAUAAUUGAAUUUUAUUUGAUAUUAUUAAUUAAAUUUUUGAAUUUUUAAAUUAUAUUUUAAAUUAUUUAAUUUUAAGUUUUUGCGGAUCCGGAUAUCCGGAAUAUCGGCCCACAUCCGGAUAUGAAAAUUUUGCCAACCCUAAUUCUUCUUCAGGUUUUAUGUAUAAAUUAAUAAGCUCCUCUCAAACUCAGGCCUUGCAUUUUCUUUAUCUUAGCACCUAAAUCGCCCAUCCAAAUUAAUUUACAAUCUCUUCUUUAAGUCUUCUGAUUCUUUUUUAUUUAUUUAUUUAAAUUAAAUUUACUUUAGGUAUUUUAAUAGCCCUAAAAGAUACUAUUACUUGUCAUAGUGUAGCUAAUAAAUUUCAUCCAGAUAUAUUAUCACACCAUAUAGCGUUAGUGUUUCUGUUCAAUUAACUAUUAUGCCAUAAAAUGUAAUAGCCUGAAUGAAAUUCGCGUUUAGAUACUCGUACUUCAGAAUUUCUAUUCAAGCAUUGGUUCCAGAUAUAGUUUAACGAAGUGAGAGUGGAAUUAUUUAAUGGUUUGUAUAGAUUUAUUGGUUUAGAUCUCCGAUGGAUUCGUGUGUGGGUAGAAGCAAGUCUUCAGACAAAGCAACUGCUAAGUUGAUGAAUAACAAAGUUUUACUAGAAAAGUCAAUAGCCUCUUAGACCUAAAAAAAAAAAACAAAUUGCGGUAAUCUUACGGUGCUGAACAUUUCUUAUGGGAUCUUGUGAAGGAAUAUGUGGAAGAAAAUGGAUUGAAUGUAAUAGCGUGGCUCAAAUAAGUGAGUAGAUAUUGUUUACUUUGGACAUACAACUUAUUACAAAAUUGAUAGUGCUACCUCGAGUUCUCCUACCGUCCUACGAGAGGACUCAAUACAAAAUCUCUUCCCACAAAUGUGGGAGAGAGGAGAUGUUCUUUUAACUUUUAAGGUGUGUGUUUAGAUCUUAUUUCUACGAGAUGUAAAAUUUUAAAUUAUGCUGCUUUAAGGGCACGUUUGGUGGCCUGCAUAAAGUUGCAUAAAAGUACUAUUUUGUAUUAAAUUAAUACACACUCAUGUUUGGCAUCAAAACCAACACACAGAGCAUUGCAUUAAAGGGGUGAGCUAAUAAAGCUUGUCUUUUGUUUUUUUAAACUUUAAUUAUAAUAAUAACUAAAUCUAACUUUUGAUAUAAAUAAUAUAAUGUUAAUGUUAAUUUUUUAUUUUUACAUUAUAAUUAUUAAUAUAAAUCAAUAAUUUAUUAUUCAAUAAUAUUAUAUGAUAUUUUUAAUUUUACAUUAUUAUAUUUUUUAUAUUUAGAUUAUACUUUAUUAGCAGAUUUAUAAUUUAAUAUAACUAAUAAUAAAUAUUAAAAAUAUUAAAUUUUUAAAAUUUAAAACUUUUAUAUUUAAUAUUUUUCUAAGUACUAAUAAAUAUUAUUUUUGAAUAUAUAAUUUAAAUUAAUCACAAAAAAUUAAUACAAUAUAGUACAAUACCAAAUAUUGUAUAAUUAAAAAUUUAUACAGUGUAGUGUAACACCAAACAUUGUACAACAUUAUUAUAAUACAGUAUUAAUGCAAUACAAUAUAAUACAAUACACCGGCAUUAAAAUAAUACAAUACAAUUUAAUACAAUACAGUAUAUCAAACGCACCCUAAGUGUAUAAAUUUAGACUCUUAGACCCUCGAUUGUAAUAUAUUUAUAAUUUUCUCAAAACUAAACAAAUUCAUCUAAGUAGAGAGAAGAUGUCCAUAAUUUACAAUUUGACUACCUUAUAUGGAACAUUUCGGAAACAAAAACGUAGUAUACUGAACUUACUGAACUCUCUUAUAGAUACAAAAUUCUUUCAAGCAUUAUUUCAUAUGAAUGAAUAAAUUGAAGUUUCAGCAUCCUAUAGGCCUACUUGAGAUUAACACAAUCUCUAAAUUUCUAAAUCCCCUAGUUAGGCAUUUAAUAUGUAACGUGUGUUUAUACGUUUUUGUUUCUUAGUUCACGAAGAAACUUGGUUAAACAAAAAUAGACGUUUCUAUCUCUCUGUUUACAAGAAUACUCAAUUUAGUCCAACUUCUGCACGAUGCAAUGAGUUCUAAGAGGUGAUGGCUUGGCAGCAGAGGCCACAAGUUACGCCAAUCCACAAACCCUAUUCAAAACAUGAUAAAGCUAAUAAAGUCAUUGAAUUGGAAGUGAAACAAUUAGUGAAAGUUUGAAAAAGUAAUUAGUUGAUCUAACCUUAACAUAAAGCUUCAACUUAAAUGUAAGAACAACUGAAAGUGGCAUGCCAAUUAAAUAGAAUGUUGCCUAAUUAGCCAACACAGAUAUGUACUGCCAUCCACAUCCUCUUGGACCCCUGCACCAAUUAGGCCGAUUGAUCACUUUAAUUGAAAUCAAAAUUUUAUUAUAGCCCAUAUUGGUAUUGUGAUUGGACAGUUCUAACCUUUAAGUUACAAAAGUAAAAUAUUUAGUAAACGCUAACCGCAGUACUUUAGAAGUUAAAUUAAUUUUAUCACACACUUGUCUGAUGAAAGCCAAAUUUUUUUUAUUAUUUUUGUUAAAAUAAUUUUUAUUAUUCAAUAAAAUCUCUCUUGUGAAGUCGAUUGGAUUAGAGUGUCAUCUAAUCUCGCAUUACACGUUAUUAAAAAUCUUAUUGAGUCGUUGGAUUAGAACGAGAUCUAAUUACGCUUUGAUUAGAGCGUAAUCUAAUCGCGUUGGCUUGAUCCAAUGCUAGAACGAAAUCUAGUUUUCCUACCCUAUUAAUUUCGCUUCUGCUAUGCCUGCUCCAUUAAUUGUUAUCAGAGCGGUUCUAUAUGAAUCGCACAGCUUUCAGGUAUACCCACAUCCAUUCCACCAAAUCCAUCGCCAAAAAAAAAAAAAAAAACCAAAAACAGCAAAACACAAAAAAUCCAGCAAAAUAAAAACUCCAAACGUAAACAACCAUCACAGCUGCCGCAUACAACUAACUCUUGAUUAUUGUUUAGUAUAGUAAGGUUCAUGAUCCGUUUCUACUUAUGCUUAUGAGAUUGAGUAACUUUAUGGAUGUAGUUAUUAUUAUGAGCCUGAAGGGAAUACAAUUAUAAGAUUUAUGAAAGGGCUUGCAAACACCUUAUACACUUUGCAACAUGCAAUUCUUGUAGCAUAGCAAAUUGAAUCACAAACUUUAUAGCAAAUUAGAAGAGAAAGAAGCCAAGCAUUGAAGCAAUCAAGACAACCUCAUCCUCGACACCAAUUUGAGAUCCCUAAUCCUAUCACAAGCCAACAGCCUAAAGUGAAAGACAUACACAUGAAAGAAGUUUGUGCCUCUCCACAUAUCGAGGAUGUGCCUAAAAUUUAAGAUGAAAAUGUACAAUUUAUUAUCGAUUUAAAAUUUCAAUAUGACAAUUUGUGUGAGAGUGUGCAUAAUGUUUCCUUAGAGGAUAAGACAAGCGUUGAAGAUGAUGUGAUUUUUUAUCUCUUUGGGAUUUUUAAAGAAGAAGAACAACCAACUCUUGAUUUGCACAUUGAGCCUAAUAGUACAAUUGAAGUUGUGCAGUAAAAUCAAGUUGAAGAAGUUAAAAUGAUUGAAAUGGUUCUACCUAUUCACAUUGAAGACAAGAAGAUUGUGCUUGAAGAAGAUUAAUUGCAAAGGUGAAACUUAUUGGAGAGCACAUUGAGUGACAAUUGGAGAAGGGCAAGAGUUAUUUAAUCAUUAUUCGUUCUUGGAAGUCAUCAUCGCAACAAAGAAUGUAAAAGCGAAGAAGUUAAUGAAGUAUGGAUUCUUCAAAGUUUCAAGAAAGAUUGAUGAGAAGGACAAUAAGAUGAUUUGCUACUAUACUACAAGUUCCAUCCUCCAUUUGUAUUCAAACUCGAGGAUGAGUUUCUUUUAAGGAGAGACUAAUGUAGGACGUUAUUUUAUGAAUUUUAAGAUUCUAGAAUUUUAUUAUUUAAGAACUUUCUAUUUUAAUUAAAGUCAAUCAUGAUAUUCAUUAUUUUAGGACUUUCUAUUUUCAUUAGAGUCAAUUAAGGUAUGAAAUUUAGUUAACUCAGGGAAGUUGGUUUACUCUAUUAUAAAUAAAGAGAUCUUGUUGUUUUCAUAGCUCAGAUUCAAUUAUUCAAUAAAACUUUUUUUUUUAUAAUUCCCUUUGGAAUUAUUUAUCAAAAUCUCUUUUGUGGAGUCGUUUGGAUUAGAGCAUCAUCUAAUCUCACAUUACAUGUUAUUAAAAAUCUCAUUGAGUCGUUGGAUUAGAAUGAGGUCUAAUCACGCUUCGAUUAGAACAUAACCUAAUCAUGUUGCUUUGCUUUAGUACUAGAACGAAAUCUAGUUUUCUUACCCUAUUAAUUCUGCUUUCGCUACGCCCGCUCUAUCAUAUCAAUUUCAACUAACUACUUACUGUUAUAAAUAUACUAUAUUUUAGGGGCAAACACGGUUUUAAAAAAUAAAUUAUAGUAGAAAAAUAUUAGUUCUAAUUGAUUAUGCAAUUGGAAAUAUAUUAUAAAUUAUACUUUUAAUUAAGUUUUAGUUUUUUUGAAGAUGGUUGUUGAAAUUCAUUUUAUUCUACUUCAUAUAUUUAAAGUGAUCAUUUUAUUAAUUACCUCUAAAAGAAAAAUCGAUGAAUUAAUAGACAAAUAUAUGGUUGAAAUUGAUUUUGUUAAUUACCUCUAGGGAAAAAAAUUCAAUGAAUCAAUGGACAAAUAUUUUUUUUAUAAAUAAUUUCAACAAAUACAUGUGUAGCUUAAACAAAAUACAGAUAAUACACCAAAAGCUGCACAACGCUACUACAAUGACUUAGUAAUCAAUGAAUCAAUGACAAAUAUUCUUUAAUAAUCUCAACAAAUACAUGUGCAACUUAAACAAGAUACAAAUAAUACACCAAAAGAUACACGAUGCAACUACAAUGACUUAGUAAUCAGUGACAAAUAUUCUUUAUAAAUAAUUUCAAUAGAAACAUGUGCAGCAGGUUAAAUGAAAUACAAAUAAUAUAACAAAAGUUACAUGAUGGUACCGCAAUGAUUUAGUGUUGCUAAAAGAUAAAAUCAAUGUGGAUUAAUCACUAAAUCUUUGACAAAAAUAAAACAUAUCACACCAAAUGCUACAAUGAUAUUUUGGUGUUGAUAAAAGAUAGAAUCAAUGUGGAUUGAACAACUGAAUCCAUGUAAAAGUUUAAUAUCAAAGUUUUUUCAUCCUCAGCCCUUGAUUUCCUACAUAACAAUAUAUAUAAAAUAAAUUGUGAAUUAAAAUUUGAUAAAUUAAAAAGAUGAAAAAAAAUCAUAAUAAUUCUUACCUACAAGCCACAAUUAAUCAAAUAAUUCUUCACCAAACAGCCUAACAGAAAAAAAUUCAAACCAGCCUUGUGAGAAUGAGGCCAACAAUAGUUGAUGUCAAGCUUAAGAAAUUAAAGGUAAUGGAAAAAAAAAUCUAAUAGCAUGUCCCCAGAAUUUUAUAAAGCUUAAUUCAAAAGAAUUAGAAGAUGACCCUAAAAUAGAAUUAAAAGCCUUCGAGAGAUAUAUAAUAUAAAAAAAGAGGAGAUGAAUUCAUCCAUUGCACCUAAUAUAAGGAGAACUUGUGUUUGUAAUAUUCUAGCAGUAAAAAAUAACUCCCUCUACGAUGAUAAGAAGUCAAAGGAAAUCAGUAAAAUAGCUGUGAAAAUAAAGGCCCACCAAUAAUAAAUUUACAAGCCAAAUUGAACUCAAAUUCCAAGCAAUAAAUUUGAUAUAAAAUUCGGCUGCAAGUCAACAAUAAUCCAGUAGCUUCAAGUUCUUCUCAAUUCACCAAAUCUUCAAAUAAACCAACCGAUAAAACUCAGAAGCUGCAAAAUAACAGACAAAAACACAAAAAGUGAUAAAAUUAAGAAGCCAGGAUGUGCCCAAGAAGCACUAUCCUUAAAGAAAAGAUUUUGCUCCUUCUCAGAUAAUUUCUAGGUGCGUAAACAGUGGCGGAUGUAGAAAAAUAAUUUAUCGGGAACUAAAUUAAAUAAUAAUAAGACAUAAAAACUGAAAACUUGAAUAUUAUUUUUUUGAUUUAAUGCAAUCUCUAGUUAAACUGUGGCACCCGCAAUUUAAUAAUUAGGAAUUAUAAAUAUUUUGAGCUGUGAGCUUUGAUUUUUAAGUCAAAGUAUAACUUUUGUAAUUAAUAAAAUAAUAGUUUAAAUUUAAAAGGAUGGACUAUCUAAUAAUUUGACAAAACUAUUUAGAAAUAUGUUAAUUUUUCUUUAUGAAAUAGAGAUUUUUUUUUUCAGUGUGGGCUUAAACCUCCAGUGGUCCUAUAGUGAAUCCGCCUCAGUGCGUAAAGGAAUUAAAGACAGUUUGACCUUUCAGAAUUCAAUGGUGUUACAACUGUAAUAGCGCACUCCAAACUACAGUUGAUUCGAACAACAAGUUUUAAUUUGUUUUCCCUGUAAUUGUUUUGUUGAAGAAGGAGAAGAAGAAGAAAUGAAAAUUUUCAUAUAGGUAAUCAAUCACAGCAGCUUGCCUUUACGGCCUUGAAUUACCCAACGACAUCCCUCGAUUUUUGCCAAAAAUCAGCUUCAACCCGAUUUACUCCUGAUAUCCAGCAACUGCUGCAAUAUAAAGACAUGGAGUUUAACCAAAUCCAAUCGGUUCAAUGAACUGAUUUUAAUUCAAAACACAACAAAUAUAUUCGGCUUUUAUCAAGUGACUAAGAAAUGGGCCAACCCCGUGUGCUCAUUGGUGAUGACCACAUCUGUUUUGUCAAUUUGGAAUAGUGGCAUUUUGAAAUACCUCACAAUUUAUAACACUUAAUAUCAGUGGCUUUUAUUUAUUUAUUCCAUGAAUAGAUAGGAUUCGGUUUCGAUGGCUGAUUCAGAGACUUGUUAGAGAGAAUAGAGAGAAUGAAGAGUGGGUUAGAGUAAACAUAUUAUUUGCACUAAACACUUUAGUUAGGUGGCAUUAUAGUAAUUAAGUGGACCAAAUGGUUACUAGAGAAAAUACAAGAUAUUUAAAUUAAAAAAAUCAAUCAAUUAAUUUAUUUAUCCUAAGUUAGUUAUUUCAUACUGAUAAAUAUUGAAAAUUAUUAGCAUAUGAUUUGAUUAAUUGCAAACCAAAACUUCUUAUCACGCAUGUUAAUGUAAAUUUAAAGUUUGUUAUAAUUGAACAAUUAUAUAUUGUUAAACCUUGAUUGAAUUUAAUCAACCAAGAAUCCCCAAGACUAGUUAAUCUCUCUUAUAUUUGAUAAAGAAACACUAAGUAAACACAAAAGAAACAAAAGCAAAACUGAAGGCGGCAAGCAAAAAAGAACAAAUUUAUAGUGGUUCGGCUUGGAGAUGACCUACAUCCACUGAAGAACAGAGUAGUAGUCUUUAUUCAAUCACCAAGAUCAAGAUACAAGCUUAAAGAUGAAGUUACAAGCUUCUCAUUACUCGAUUUCCUCUCUCCUAAGGCUAUAAAUAUUCGCCCAAGAAAACCCAAAAAGUUCUUUCACCAGUUAGCUGAAUUCUGGUUUGUUAACAGCCAAAACUCCAGAAUUUUCCCGCUCUUGUAACAUAAUAUAACAGUCUCUGAGCCACGUGUUCGCAACACGUUAAACGAAAGCCCCAAAACGACAACUCAACAGGUCGUAAAGAUAAGUGAAAUCAUGUGAUAGCCACGUGCUUUACUUAUUCAGAAAUAGCUGAUGAAACAAGAUUGUCAUACGAUCUAAAGAGGGCUUCACUGACAUGUCAUAUACCACUACAACCGCAAAUCGACAUAACAUAUGACUUUCUGGAAACCUAGUUUCAAAUAGGGAUGGCAAAAAUCCCCACAGGGACGGUAUCUUCGGGGAUUUUUCCCAUUCGGGGAGGGUAAGGAGAUAAUUUUAUGCUCAAUUUUUUAUUCAGAGAGGGGACGGGAAAAAUUUUUUACCCAAUUUUUUAUUCGAGGAGGGGACGGGGAUGAGGUGGAAUCCCCAUCCCCUACCCAUUUCCCCAUUUUAAUUUUUAAUUUUAUUUUUAUUUUUAAAAUUACUAAUAAAUAAAUAACAAAAUUAUAAAUAUUGUUAAAAAUAAUAAAUAUCAAAAUAUUUAUAUUAUUAAACUUUUAAACUUAAUUAACUAAUUAAAGUCUUAAAUUUUUAAUCCAAACCACAAUUAUACAGGAGAGAGCUGCCUAAUUAUAAUUUACAACAGUCCUAAUCCUAAUUCGUAUCGGACGGGACAAUGAACGCAAUACCAAAUUGGUAAACCUAUUCUUGUUCGGAAAGAAUUUCCAAAAGUUGAAAUUCGUCUCAGAUUUUGAAAAGCUUGCCUAUAAAUACACAGCUCUCUGUUCUUGUGCGUUUAGGGAUGGCAAUGGGCACCGCCCGCAGCGGGUUUGCCAUUACCAAACCCAAACCCGCACAAAAUUUAAAUUACCAAACCCACCCGCAACCCGCAGCGGGUUUUAAUUUUUUUUAAAAAACCCACCCACAGCGGGUUUUAACAAUUACCAAACCCGCAAUGGUAUCCGGCGGAUUUUUUACGGGUUUCCGUAUUUAAAAUCACAAAUUUUUAAUAUAUAAAUUUAUAAUAAUAACCUCAAAUUCCAUAUAACAUAUUCAAUUUUAUAUUUAAACAAUAUAUUAAUUCGAAGGGAAAUGUUUUUAAUUUUCUUUAGGUUAUGACUUUAGAAUAGAAGAUGAGCCAUAUACACACAUACACAACUUUGAGCCUUUGACUAUUUGGUAAUUUGAUUAAUUACAUUAUUUUCUUUAUAUAUUUUUAUAUUUAAAUUAAAUUAAAAAUAUUUGAAAAACAUUAUUGCGGGUUUGGUGGAUAUCCAUGUGGGUAUCCACCGGGUAUAAGGUUAAUACCAAACCCACCCGCAUCCAUGUGCGGGUUUUAAUUUAUAAUACUAAACCCGCCCGCAACGGAUAAAAUUACUCGCAACGGGCGGGUUUUGGCGGGUGGGUUUGAGUGGGUUUGAGUGGGUUUGCGGGUACAAUUGCCAUCCCUAUGUGCGUUCCAAAUUAAAAAAAUCCCAAGCGAACAGCGCACGCUUACAAUUGUCUUUGUCAAGUCAGUCUUUGCAAAUUAAUCAAAGUCUUUGCGCGUUCAGCACUCUUCUUUGGUGGCUUUUUAUUUAUCACUCACAUCACACCACAUCCAUUCACAUGCCAUCAUUUAUGCGCCACAUCACCAUUGUCAAAUAAGCAUUCACGAUCAACAUCCACAAGUAAGUCUUGAUUCUUGCAAUUUAUAUGUUUAAUUUUUUAUUAUUAAUUUCUUUCAUUCACAUCUCAUAAGUAAACUAAGUUUUUGUCAUUUUAUAUAAUGAAAGUGGAAGACAACUCUGAUGCUUUAUUGAUUCUAUAAAAUUCUUGUGCACAAAUCUUUUUAAUUGAAAAUUUAAAUUGAUAUUAUGUUUAAUUUAUUUUAUUUUGUAUAUUUUUAGACCAAUAGAAGCAAACAUGUCAAGUGCUACACCAACACCACAAUUAGUGGAUGUAGUCCAUGUGGAUGAUGAUGGUCAAACAGAAAAUGUUAUUUCGGAUGGGUCAUCAAAAAGAGGAAGCACUAGAAAAUUAAGAUCUAUUGUCUGGGAUCAUUUUGAGAAAAAGAUAAUUAAUGGGGAACAAAAGGCAGUAUGUAACCAUUGCAAUUCCAAGUUGGUAUCAAGGCAAAAUGAUGGAACAAAGCAUUUGCAUGACCAUAUGAAAUCGUGUUUCAUGAAAAAACAAAAAGAUAUCAAUCAUUACAUGACAAAAUUGAAUACUGUCAAGGAUGAUAAAGGACAUUCAAAGGUAGAAUCUUUUGUUUUUGAUCAAGAUGUCACAAGGAAAACAAUUGCACGUGCAAUUGUCAAGCAUGAAUAUCCGUUAAGUAUCGUUGAUCAUGAAGGAUUUAGAGAGAUAUUAUCCUCGUUUAACCCAAUGUGGAAGCAUGUGUCCCAAAAUACAAUUAAAAAGGAGAUAUUGGAUUUGUAUGAGAACGAAAAGGCUAAGAAUUUGAAUGCCUUGGCGAGCAAUCAAAGUAGGCUGGCCAUCACAACAGAUAUGUGGACUGCAGAUACCCAAACAAAAGGGUACAUGGCAGUUACUGGACACUUUAUUGAUGAUUCUUGGACGUUACGGAGUCUAGUUUUGAGGUAAGGUCUUUAUUUUUUAUUUUUUGUAUUUAACUUAUUUUUUAAUGUUAAUUAAAAAAAUUUAACAAAAUAUAUAUAUAUAUUUUUUAUUUUCUUCUUGUAGGUUUCAGCAUGUAAAAGGUUCACAUACUGGCUUAAAGCUUUGUGACACAUUAUUUAAUUGCUUGAUGGAUCUCCACCUUGAACAUAAGGUAUCUUCUGUGACUGUGGACAAUUGCUCUGCCAAUGACCGCAUGAUGGAAUAUCUUUUGAUUAAGCUUAAUAAAGAUGAUCUCAUUUUACGUGGACAAUUAUUUCACAUUCGUUGUUGUGCCCAUAUAUUAAAUUUGAUUGUCAAAGAAGGUAUGACUGUGAUUAGUGAUGGAAUUGCAAAAAUUCGUGAGAGUGUUGUUUUUUGGACUGGAUCAUGUAAAAGAAAGGAGAAGUUUGAAGAAUUUGCUAGUCGUUCAAAUGUUAAAUAUGAUAAACAAUUAGUGCUUGAUUGUCCUACUAGGUGGAAUUCCAUAUAUCUUAUGAUUUCAUCUGCUUUGCAAUAUAAAAAUAUUUUUCUUCGAUUAAAGGAUAUUGAUGGACAAUAUAAGUGUUGUCCUAGUGAGGAAGAUUGGCAGUUUGCCAUUAUUUUGGAAGAGAAUUUGAAAAGUUUUUAUGAUGUCACUGAGUUAUUUUCAGGAACUAAGUAUCCAACAACAAAUGUAUUCUUGCAACAUGUGUGUGAGAUUAAAUUAUCUUUACAAGAUUGGCUUUUAUCACCUUGUGAUAGGAUUCAACAUAUGGCUCAGUUGAUGUUAUUGAAAUUUGAUAAAUAUUGGCAAGAUAUGAGUGG
rnacentral:lncRNA from 1 species